UACGGAGGGGGCUAGCGUUGUUCGGAAUUACUGGGCGUAAAGCGCACGUAGGCGGCUUUGUAAGUUAGAGGUGAAAGCCCAGGGCUUAACCCUGGAAUUGCCUUUAAGACUGCAUCGCUAGAAUCGUGGAGAGGUAAGUGGAAUUCCGAGUGUAGAGGUGAAAUUCGUAGAUAUUGCAAGAACACCAGUGGCGAAGGCGGCUCACUGGCCCGGUACUGACGCUGAGGUGCGAAAGCGUGGGGAGCAAACAGG
rnacentral:rRNA from 1 species